GUGUGAUAGGGUACUUUUUGUAGAACGGUCCGGCGAGCGAUUGUAUGCAGCAAGGUUAAGGACUUAAGGUCUGGAGCCGAAGCGAAAGCGAGUUUGAAAAGGGCGUUAAGUUGCAUACAAUGGGCCCGAAACCGGGUGACCUACCCAUGGUCAGGUUGAAGUGGAAGUAAAAUUCCAUGGAGGACCGAACCGACCUCCGUUGAAAAGGCGGCGGAUGAACUGUGGGUAGCGGAGAAAUUCCAAUCGAACCCGGAGAUAGCUGGUUCUCCCCGAAAUAGUUUUAGGACUAGCCUCAAGUUAGAUACCUGGAGGUAAAGCACUGAAUAGCCUAGCGGCCGAGAGGUUAGCGAAGCUUAUCAAACUCAGAAUGCCAGAGUAUUGAUGCUUGGGAGUCAGACAGUGUCAGAUAAAUGUCAUUGUCAAAAGGGAAACAGCCCAGAUCUACAGCUAAGGUCCCAAAGUCAGGUUAAGUGGAAAACGAUGUGAAGAUACGUAGACAACCAGGAUGUUGGCUCAGAAGCAGCCACACAUUCAAAGAGUGCGUAAUAGCUCACUGGUCGAGCGUCUUUGCGCGGAGAAUUUAACGGGGCUAAACCUGACACCGAAGCUUAGGCAAUACAGCAAUGUAUUGGGUAGGGGAGCGUUGUAUACGCGGUGAAACAGUAGCGCAAGCGGCUGUGGAGUGUAUAGAAGUGAGAAUGCCGGAAUGAGUAGCGCGAAUGCAGUGAGAAUCUGCAUGGCCGAAAGCCUCAGGUUUCUGGAGGAAGGUUCGUCCGCUCCAGGUUAGUCGGGAGCUAAGGUGAGGCCUAACGGCGUAGCCGAUGCACAGACGGUAGAGAUUCCGUCACCACCAAAAGAGUUAAACACAGGGACACAUUUGAAGUCUCGGAGCCGGGUGUUGGUUCCGGUAGCGAUCGAGGGAAAUUAGUACCGAAGUCCGGGAUGGAAGAUGGCGAGAAAAGCUGUGUGUAUUUCUGCGGUGCCCGUACCGCAAACCGACACAGGUAGGUAGGAAGAAGAUUCUAAGGCCAACGGGAGAAGGGUUGUUAAGGAACUCGGCAAAUUGACCCCGUAACUUCGGGAGAAGGGGUGCUCCAGAGAUGGAGCCGCAGAGAAUCGGCCCAAGCAACUGUUUACCAAAAACACAGGUUUGUGCUAAAUCGAAAGAUGACGUAUACGAGCUGACGCCUGCCCGGUGCUGGAAGGUUAAGAGGAGAUGUGCAAGCAUUGAAUCGAAGCCCCAGUGAACGGCGGCCGUAACUAUAACGGUCCUAAGGUAGCGAAAUUCCUUGUCAGGUAAGUUCUGACCCGCAUGAAAGGCGUAAUGAUUUGGGCACUGUCUCGACAGCCCGCCCGGCGAAAUUGUAGUACCGGUGAAGAUGCCGGUUACCCGCGACAAGACGGAAAGACCCCAUGGAGCUUUACUGUAGCCUAAUAUUGGGUUUCGAUGUUGCAUGCACAGGAUAGAUGGGACACAGGGAAACAAGUGCUUUGGCAUUUGUGGAGUGGCCGUUGGGAUACCAUCCUUGCGAUAUUGGAAUUCUAACCUGCGCCUUUGAAUCAAGGCGGGGGACAUUGUUAGGUGGGCAGUUUGACUGGGGCGGUCGCCUCCUAAAGAGUAACGGAGGCGUUCAAAGGUUCGCUCAGCUUGAACGGAAAUCAAGCAAAAGAGUGCAAACGCAGAAGCGAGCCUAACUGCGAGACUGACGGGUCGAGCAGUAACGAAAGUUGGAGUUAGUGAUCCGGUGGUAUGUGAGUGGAAAUGCCAUCGCUCAACGGAUAAAAGUUACCCUGGGGAUAACAGGCUGAUCUCCCCCAAGAGUCCACAUCGACGGGGAGGUUUGGCACCUCGAUGUCGGCUCAUCGCAUCCUGGGGCUGUAUUCGGUCCCAAGGGUUUGGCUGUUCGCCAAUUAAAGCGGUACGCGAGCUGGGUUCAGAACGUCGUGAGACAGUUCGGUCCCUAUCUGUCGUGGGCGCAGGAUAUUUGAUGGGAGCUGUUCCUAGUACGAGAGGACCGGAGCGGACGUACCUCUGGCGCACCAGUUGUUCUGCCAAGGGCAUAGCUGGGCAACUAUGUACGGAUCGGAUAAACGCUGAAAGCAUCUAAGCGUGAAGCCGACCCAAAGAUAAGAUAUCCCAUUGUUU
rnacentral:rRNA from 1 species